rnacentral:lncRNA from 1 species
CAAGUGUCCAAGUUCCCGUUGGCCAUAUAUUGGAACACAAGGGCUUUGAAGUCUGCCCCAUUGGAAUCCACUGAAGAGCACAGAAGCUUCACACUCCACACUAAAGCUCCUUUGGCCCCCAUAAAUUCCAAGGUUAAAUACUUUGAUGGCAACCUCAUCUUGCUGACGGCAUUGAGAAGUGAAGCUGGAAUUGGGCCAACAAACUUGUUUGCCGGGAGGAUCAAGCCCUGA